AGAGUUUGAUCAUGGCUCAGAGCGAACGCUGGCGGCAGGCUUAACACAUGCAAGUCGAGCGGGUGUAGCAAUACAUCAGCGGCAGACGGGUGAGCAACGCGUGGGAACGUACCUUUUGGUUCGGAACAACCCAGGGAAACUUGGGCUAAUACCGGAUAAGCCCUUACGGGGAAAGAUUUAUCGCCGAAAGAUCGGCCCGCGUCUGAUUAGCUAGUUGGUGAGGUAAUGGCUCACCAAGGCGACGAUCAGUAGCUGGUCUGAGAGGAUGAUCAGCCACAUUGGGACUGAGACACGGCCCAAACUCCUACGGGAGGCAGCAGUGGGGAAUAUUGGACAAUGGGGGCAACCCUGAUCCAGCCAUGCCGCGUGAGUGAUGAAGGCCCUAGGGUUGUAAAGCUCUUUUGUGCGGGAAGAUAAUGACGGUACCGCAAGAAUAAGCCCCGGCUAACUUCGUGCCAGCAGCCGCGGUAAUACGAAGGGGGCUAGCGUUGCUCGGAAUCACUGGGCGUAAAGGGUGCGUAGGCGGGUCUUUAAGUCAGGGGUGAAAUCCUGGAGCUCAACUCCAGAACUGCCUUUGAUACUGAAGAUCUUGAGUCCGGGAGAGGUGAGUGGAACUGCGAGUGUAGAGGUGAAAUUCGUAGAUAUUCGCAAGAACACCAGUGGCGAAGGCGGCUCACUGGCCCGGUACUGACGCUGAGGCACGAAAGCGUGGGGAGCAAACAGGAUUAGAUACCCCCGUAGUCC
rnacentral:rRNA from 1 species